rnacentral:lncRNA from 1 species
GAGUGCAACUUGACUCAGGAUAGAAAUCCAUCCUGACUUGUGUUCACCUCGAUCCCUGCACUGUUGUGCUGCAGCUGCUGGGCCCCGCCAUGAGGCCUGGUCCUUUCCCUCCGGCUCAAUCAAACUCAAGAGGACUCUGCUGAAAUGGCUGCUUGCUCCCCCACAUAAUUACAAGGGAAAGCUGCCCGAGGAGAGCCUGGCACAGCCUUGCCUUGCAGGAUCACACUGGUGGCACUGGAUGCUCAUCCCUUGGGUAUCCCCCGUGUCCCUGCUGGGCUGCUUCACCUGCUCCCAGCGAGGAAUUCAUUGCUUUUCUCACCUGCCAGUUGCAGGUAGGGCUGCUCACCUUUCCCCCUG